rnacentral:rRNA from 1 species
AGAGUUUGAUCCUGGCUCAGGAUGAACGCUAGCGGCAGGCCUAAUACAUGCAAGCCGAACGGCAAGUUUGAUAGCAAUAUUGAACCUAGAGUGGCGUAAGGGUGCGUAACACGUAUGCAAUCUGCCCUGUACAGGGGAAUAGCUCGGUGAAAACCGGAUUAAUGCCCCGUAAUAUGUUUGGAAGGCAUCUUCUGAUCAUUAAAGUUGAGGCGGUACAGGAUGAGCAUGCGUAUGAUUAGUUAGUUGGCGGGGUAACGGCCCACCAAGACGAUGAUCAUUAGGGGAACUGAGAGGUUGAUCCCCCACACUGGCACUGAGAUACGGGCCAGACUCCUACGGGAGGCAGCAGUAGGGAAUAUUGGACAAUGGGUGAGAGCCUGAUCCAGCCAUGCCGCGUGCAGGAAGAAGGCCUUCUGGGUUGUAAACUGCUUUUGCCAGGGGAUAAAAUGUCUGUGCGCAGAUAAUUGAAGGUACCUGGUGAAUAAGCCACGGCUAACUACGUGCCAGCAGCCGCGGUAAUACGUAGGUGGCAAGCGUUGUCCGGAUUUAUUGGGUUUAAAGGGUGCGUAGGCGGUCCUAUAAGUCAGUUGUGAAAUACGGCAGCUUAACUGUCGAGGUGCAAUUGAUACUGCAGGACUUGAGUACAGACGAGGUAGGCGGAAUUGACGGUGUAGCGGUGAAAUGCUUAGAUAUCGUCAAGAACACCGAUAGCGAAGGCAGCUUACUAGACUGUAACUGACGCUGAGGCACGAAAGUGUGGGGAUCAAACAGGAUUAGAUACCCUGGUAGUCCACACUGUAAACGAUGAUUACUCGAUGUUGGCGAUACACAGCCAGCGUCUUAGCGAAAGCGUUAAGUUAUCCACCUGGGGAGUACGAUCGCAAGGUUGAAACUCAAAGGAAUUGACGGGGGCCCGCACAAGCGGUGGAGCAUGUGGUUUAAUUCGAUGAUACGCGAGGAACCUUACCAGGGCUUAAAUGGGAAUUGACAGACUGGGAAACUAGUCCUCCUUCGGGCAAUUUUCAAGGUGCUGCAUGGUUGUCGUCAGCUCGUGCCGUGAGGUGUUGGGUUAAGUCCCGCAACGAGCGCAACCCCUACUGUUAGUUGCCAGCAUGUAAUGAUGGGGACUCUAGCAUAACUGCCAGCGCAAGCUGUGAGGAAGGUGGGGAUGACGUCAAAUCAUCACGGCCCUUACGUCCUGGGCUACACACGUGCUACAAUGGUCGAUACAGAGGGCAGCCACCUGGUGACAGGGAGCAAAUCCUUAAAAUCGAUCUCAGUUCGGAUUGGAGUCUGCAACUCGACUCUAUGAAGCUGGAAUCGCUAGUAAUCGCAUAUCAGCCAUGAUGCGGUGAAUACGUUCCCGGGCCUUGUACACACCGCCCGUCAAGCCAUGGAAGUUGGGGGUGCCUAAAGUGCGUAACCGUAAGGAGCGCCCUAGGGCAAAACUGAUAACUGGGGCUAAGUCGUAACAAGGUA